rnacentral:rRNA from 1 species
UACGUAGGGUGCAGGCGUUAAUCGGAAUUACUGGGCGUAAAGCGUGCGCAGGCGGCUCCUUAAGUCAGAUGUGAAAUCCCCGGGCUCAACCUGGGAACUGCAUUUGUGACUGCAUCGCUGGAGUGCGGCAGAGGGGGAUGGAAUUCCGCGUGUAGCAGUGAAAUGCGUAGAGAUGUGGAGGAACACCGAUGGCGAAGGCAGCCUCCUGGGCCAACACUGACGCUCAUGCACGAAAGCGUGGGGAGCAAACAGG